UUUGAUAUGAAUAAUGCAACUAAAAAAAAAAGUUUGAUCCACCUUCAAUAUAUCCAUAAGUAGCAUUAUUAAAAAGUAACUUUUCUGAGAUUGUAGCAUUUACCUUUUUCACAGACCUGCUGAACCUAGCUUCUUUCCAGAGCUUAAAUUGAUGUAAACGCUUUGCUGCUAAGGAUUUGUUCUGGUCACUUUCAUUAAAAUGUUGAAGCUUUUUCUCCAUGCCUUCUUAUGCUGUAUUUGCUCUUAAGUAAUACAAUAUGGUAAGGACUUUGAAAUAAGUUAUAUCUCCAGACAUACAAUGUUAGGUGGAUCGAUAAAUGCCCUAUGACGUCUACUAUACAUCAUAAAAUUUCUAUCAUAACCUGUUUAACAAAGCUUUUCUUCUUGGACACCAAGAAUUUCAUUCAAAGCAUUUUACAUAUUGCAUUACUUAUCAAAACAGAGGAUAUGCAAACCUUGACAUUUGUUAAAAGACCCAGGCUUUAACCAAAAAAGACCAGAACAAAUCAAUAGCAGAAAACAGAUUAAACAACAGAAAAGUGACUGCUUAGAAAUAGAAGCAUGUGAGCUUAACCCAAGACAAGCUUUCACCACUUACUCAAAAGAAAUGGUUGUUUGAUAUAUACAGGCACCUGAAAAUCUCUCGGACUCUACUGGACCUUCACAUAGUCAAUGCCACAACUAAAUGAAAGUACAGUAAAUGACUGUUACAGCCUGUCUUCCAAGCCUAAUUUGGGAUAGCAGAAGUUGAAUUGCUUUUCUUGGCUAAGAUUUUGUUCUCAUAUGAGGGGGUAUUAGAAUAACUGUAUAUCAUGUAAAAUUGUACUUAAUACACUCACCAGGUUCUAUUUAAUCCUACUACCAGUAAUGGUAAAAGUUAUUACUAUUACUACUGUUACUGUUAGUAUUAUUACUAUUAUUACUAUUAUUGUAAAAAAAUCAGUACUUUAUAAAGUAAAAACCAACAGUUCUAAUGGGUCUAAUUUAUACUUUGUAAAGAUACUUAUAUCUUGAAACAAUGUGAAUCUUUCUGUUGUUGUCUUUGGGUAAGUUUCACUACAAAUAUACUCAUGGAACAUAACAUGAAAAGAAAAUAUUAUGAUCGUGCUUAAAAUUACUCAUAAAUCACAAAUACACACAUGCCAAUCUAUGUGUGUAUAUGUGCAUAUUAAUGACAUAUAUACCUUACAAAUAUCUUUACAUUGAUGGCAAAAUAUGACUUUAGAUAUCACCUUUUAUUUUUCCAGUUAAAAAGUUCUGAUAACAGUUAUUUUUAUUCACUCAUAUAAGCUAAUACAUGAACUGUUCAUUUGCAAGACACGUUGAAGUUUAGGGGGAAAUGGAGGUAUUGCAAAUCCAAGCUUGCUGGAAAAACUGUUUAUGUCAUUAGUAAUAGAGCAAGAAAAAAAUAUAAACUCUCUCUCAAAAAAAAA
rnacentral:lncRNA from 1 species